AGCAGCGUCUCUCACAGUGAGUCCUGACAGAGUGCAACACUUCACCUUUGACUCUGUCUCACUGACCUGUGAGGGAAACUUCACUGAGUGGAGAGUGAGGAAGUUCUCUGAGGACGGCCGACUGUACUCUGACUGUAGGAGAAUGACUGGAUCCACAUGUAACAUCAUCACAUCAGAGUCAGAUACUGCAGUGUACUGGUGUGAGUCUGGAUCAGGAGAGUUCAGCAGUGCCGUCAACAUCACUGUACAGAAUGAUGGUAAUGGUCCUAUCCUGGUUAGUCCUGUUCAUCCUGUGACUGAGGGAGCUUCUGUUAGUCUGAGCUGCAGUUUGAGAACACAAAAAAUACUUUCCAAUGUGUUUUUCUAUCACAAUGACAAACUUAUUCAAAAUGAUACCCGAGGGGAGCUGAAGAUCUCUGCA